rnacentral:sRNA from 1 species
GAGUGAAGGCUGUUUGUUAAGUCAGUGGUUAGAGGUGAAGAUUGCUUUUAUCUUCCUUUUAGUGGAUAUGCUUAUUAGGUGAUACUCUAGUAUGACUUGGCUUUUUAAGUUGUAGUUUAGUUUUCUUUAAUUUGGGUUACUUAGUCUUACCAAUAAAAAAUCUACCACAUUGGGUUGCUUUAAAAAAAAUCACUUAAGAAUACACCCUUCCUCAUUCCAAAAGGGAUUUGUGUGGUAGGUAAAAGAAUUUAUAACUGCUUAAGACUGGUUUUUCUUAACUUUUACUUGCUGCAGUGUACUUUUUUUGUCUCAAUUAUAGGUGCUUCUAAAGUAAAGAAAUACCGUAAAUUAAUUUUAGAGCAGGCAAAAACGACAAGCCUGGAACUGGUUCCAGAAGAGCCAUCUGAGCCUGUGCCUCCUCUUAUAGUUGAUCGUGAGAGAUUGAAGAAAUUGCUUGAUUUGUUGGUGGAUAAAAGCAACAAUCUGGCAGUUGAUCAGCUUGAGAGAUUAUAUUCUCUUCUUAGUCAGUGUAUCUACCGUCAUCGUAAAGAUUAUGACAAAUCACAACUUG